ensembl:lncRNA
CUGCUUUCCUAUCUGUUUACCUGUUGUCUGAACGUCUUUCUGUCUGUCUCCCUGUCUGUCUGUCUGUCUCCGUGUCUGUCUCUCUAUCUGGUUUCCUGUCUGGCUUUGUGCCUGGCUUCCUGUCUGUCUGACUCACUGUCUGUCUGUCAUUCUGUUUGUCUCCCUGUCUGUCUCCCUGUCUGUCUCCCUACCUGGCUUCCUGUCUGUCUCUCUGUCUUCCUGUCUGUCUGACUCACUGUCUGUCCGCCUUCCUAUCUGUUUACCUGUUGUCUGUCUUCCUGAAUGUCUUUCUGUCUGUCUCCCUGUCUGUCUGUCUGUCUCCGUGUCUGUCUCUCUACCUGGUUUCCUGUCUGGCUUUGUGCCUGGCUUCCUGUCUGUCUCUCUGUCUUCCUGUCUGUCUGACUCACUGUCUGUCUGCCUUCCUGUCUGUUUACUUGUCUGUCUGUCUCCCUGUCUCUCUCCCUAACUGUGUGUCUGUCUCCCUGUCUGCCUAUCUGUCUCCCUGUGUCUCUCUCUCUGUCUGUCCAUCUCCCUCCCUUCCUGUCUGUCUGUCUGUGUAACUGCUGCUGCUGUCUCUGUAUCUGUCUGCCUGUCUGUCUCACUGUCUUUCUGUAUAACAUCGUCUAUUUUUGUAUCUAAUGAAAAACAACAGUUCUUUAAGAGUUCCUUAACUUUCUACAAAUGUUUCUUUCGCUUUUUCAUGAUAUAUUCAGAAUUCCUAUCUCAUAAUUUAAGUCAGUAUGACUCACUAACUGCGGCUUAAGCGCCUCAAAUUCAUUCCCUGGUUAAAAACGACACAGAGUAAUCAGAGAAAGAGAGCGAGACGACCAUCUGACACGCUCUUAGAGCAGUACGCCUCCGAGUACACUACCACUGCUUCCAGUUUCAUUUCAAAAUAAAAACCUGAUAACUAGGUUAAAGUGUGAGUGUGUUAUGUAAAGAAUAAACGACUCAGUGUCGUGGAAAAGAAUCAAAUGAUGAAGAGGAGUCACUGUUACUACACUGAUUACUUUCCUACAGCAGUUGUAACAGUGUCGUAUUUAUCAAAGACUGACACGUCAUGCUUUUCAUCUGUUUAUAGUGACAGUACUGGUGUAGUUCAUAUCCUCCCUUACGUUAUAGCAGCUAUAAAUGCUCCUCUCUCACCAGCCCUCUCUUUUUUCCUCUCUCUUAAAGUUAUAAGACAAAAACAAGCAGUUUGUCACUCCUCUGUCCUGAAGUACCUCGAAAAACUUAAACUUACAGCUUUACCUCUGACUGAUGCAAACCACUGACGCUGGAGACAUUAAAAACAUGCUUUUUAAUCCGUUUAUGUGGCGCGCACGCUUCACAAGUCUGUGCUGUUACUAUAGAAACAAUGAAGUAUUCGAAUAAAUAAUAUGAAGCUGUGAUUUGCAGCUGCGCUACUGUCCGAGCUGCUGUUCGGAAAGAUAAGUUGCUGCGUGCGCGCGUGUGUGUGUGUGUGUGUGUGGUCUCGGAUGUAUAGGGUGUGUUCGGGGUGUGUGUGUGACUCUGUGUCAUGCGCUGCCAGCUGAAUAAUGAAGUGGAGCUCACACAGCGUGCUGGAGGAGAUAAGAGAGAUUCACUUCUCUCAGAUUUGGCAGACGAGUGUCCACUGAGACAGAUAAAAAAUUAACCACUCGCUCACACACAGCGCCUAAUUCAGGAUUUCGGGGGAAGAGAUGAUUCUGAGUGCGCACCAAACACACACACACACACAGGCUUCCCUCUCUCCAUUUCUAUUUCUUACGGUGAGAAUGGGAGCGAUGAUGUAAAAGGUGUGAGAUGUACCUAAUAGUGAGGGGAAUUCCAGCUCUUUAUUAGCGAGUCGGUGAAUUAUUUGACUCAUAAAUAAGAGUCGACUCUUUCGCCUCCCAAACCACUUUUUUUUUUUUAAAUAAAAGUUGUUAGACUGAAUCAGUGAAUCAGCUGCGUGUCAUCAAAUGUGCACUGACAUCAACAAACUUUAAUUGUCCCUGCUGCACUGUUUGUGCUUAAUUAAGAAGAUUUAAGGUCCUAGGUCUAGGUCCUACCUGUGACUAGGUCUAGGUCCUACCUGUGACUAGGUCUAGAUCCUACCUGUGACUAGGUCUAGGUCCUACCUGUGACUAGGUCUAGAUCAGACCUGUGACUAGGUCUAGAUCCUACCCGUGACUAGGUCUAGGUCCUACCCGUGACUAGGUCUAGGUCCUACCCGUGACUAGGUCUAGAUCCUACCCGUGACUAGGUCUAGGUCCUACCCGUGACUAGGUCUAGGUCCUACCUGUGACUAGUUCCUGUUAACAGUUUGACGAACCGUGGUUUUAUCUUAUCCUCUCACUGCUACUUCCUUCCAAGUUGUUUUGGUCUUCAUAAUGUCUCCGAACACACGUAUACUUUUAUACACAUGUAAUGAGAGGUCGUACAUCAGUCGAGUGAGCGACCUCUCAUUACAUGUGUAUAAAAGCAUUACGUGCGUUCAGAGACGUUAUGAAGAACGAAAUAGCUUGGAAGGAAGUAGCAGUGAGCGCACGUAGCUAAUACAGUUAGCUUGCUUUGCUAAUCUUAUCUGAGAACAAAGCUAGUACGAAGCCGAGCAUGCGACAUGUAACACAAAUAUAUGUGUAUAAAUAGUACAGCAGAGUGCAGGAUGUAGAUUUUCACUACUGUUUCUGGACAGGCCACGCCCACAAUCAACAACAGUAACGCUGCUACACACACACACACACACACUCAUUUAAUAUGACAUUAUAAUCUCCUGAAAAUUAUGAUCAGAGUCAGCGUUAUGAUCAGGGUCGAACCGUUUCAGUCGGAGGGAACCGUACCGGAAAAGCUUUUGUUGUGCAACUGUACUGGACACAACACACACUCACACACACACACACACAAGCAGUUGAAGAGCUGCUCACACCUCAAUACAACAACUCUAAAUAUACACCAUAUGUUUACAGCCUGCGCUUCUCUUCCACUCUGAGUCACUACAGGAACAGGAUCAUGAGCGCAAAACUCUGAUAUAGAAACCCUGUACGUCCUGCCCUGCUGGAAAAUACUACAGAAACCCUGAUAGAAUUUGUAAUGGUUUUAAUGGUUAUAAUGGGAAUUGUAUUGGUUGUAAUGGAAACUGUAAUACUCCCUGUGAGUCUCUACUGGUAAUUUGUUGCCUUCUAUUGGUCUAGUAAAUACCAUUAAGGACCACUAAUGGUAAUGGUUUAAUGGUUAGCUGAUGGAUUGUAAUGGUAUUUGUACUGGAAACCAUUAGAAUUUCUGUGAUGGUUUCUACUGGGGUUUUUUUUUUCCAGCUGGGAAGUUUCCAACCGCCUGCUUGAGGAGCACGAUGUAUUUCUCAUAUUAUCAUUAAACAUGAACAUUUUGGCCAAAACGAGAUUUUGUAAGUGACGCCAUGUUUAAAGCGCUGAUAAUCCUGAUAAGUUUGAACAUCUUUAAUAUCGAUUACUUCUGUUUUAUAAGAGUCAAAAAGCGGUUUUAGUGAAAUGGGGCUUUGUGUGAAGGGUUUAUGCUAUGCAUCAUGAUAUUUAGGUAUGCAAACCAAAGUGGCAGAGAAAAAAAAGACAUUAAAAUAGUGACAGUUUUUAAACAUUUGCACAGUAAAGAGAGAGAGAAAGAGAGAGAAAGAGACAGAAUGACUCAUCUAGUACACCAGAAUAUUUUUAAUGUUCGAUCUUACAAACAUUACUGCUCACAGUGACUAAACAUAACUAUAAAAGGGUAAUAAAGUACGGCUGAUAAAAAGCCACACUGACAAUAUUAAAGCAGCGGUGUGUAAAGUUUAAGCGCCCUCUUGCUGCCUGGAACUGCGACUGCAAUUAGAUAACAGACCCCCCUUCACUUCACUUUCCCCCUCCCACCGCCGUUAUUAAAGCUAUUUGAAGGGGUGGAGCUAGGCAUGUGGACAGAGCAUAUUUCAGGGCUGGAAAACUGUAAAAAGGCCAAAAUGAUUUUUU